UGCAUGUUUUUUUGCUUUGUUUCUUUGCAGGUGCUGCCGCCGCCCUAGGCGUGCCAAGGAACAGAGGCGAGCAGGCAAGUUGGCAUUAAGGUGGGGCGACUAAUAGGCGGGCGGUAUGCGGCGGCGUGCCAAGCUUGUACCUUUUCACUUUGCAGGUCUUCUCCAGGCCACCUCCAGAGUCGGAUGAUUUGAGGUACCAUGAGCCGGUGUGGAGCCAAGUUUGGAAACAGUGUAAGAGACAGUCCAAAGAUCCCUCAUCUGCCUCAGGAUCAUUGCCGAGGACAGAGACUGAGCACAGGAGUCCUGGCCUGGCUGAGGUGUGAAGGACUGCGCUGAAGGGGAAAGGAAUGACCUGUCCUGUACACCUGUCUUGUACGUCUGUCCUGUACCCAUUUCCCAAAGCAACGGACCCCAUAACAACAGCUGUAGGUUUCCCAACCUCUUGGCCAGUUGCCCCUCACUUCUGAAAAGGACAUAAAGGGACUUUCUGAAAUAACCGCGUCUGAGAUCUCCCCACGGAAAGAAGACGAAUCUAUUGGCGGAAGACCAUGUGGACUUCGUCUCAUCUGUUGGUAGCUAUUGCCCCCCUCUUUUUCUUCCUCUCUGUGUUUCCUUCUCUCUCUCUCUCUUUCUCUCUUCUAUUGC